CCCAUAUACUCCACCCCACUUAUCGGUUUCUCUCUCUCUCAAUUACUAUUCACUCUUCUUCCCCAAAUUGCACAAAAUAGGGAAAUUCCUCCCCCAAAUCCGAAUUUCCGCCUCCUAACCCAGCUUCACACCUCGCUGUCGUUGACCAGCCAUCCCUCCGGCGUCGCCGUCGUCGUCGCUCCACCGCCUGCGUUUUCCCUCCGUCGCCUCUUUCCUCACCCCCUCUUUCUCUCCCUCGGCUCCCCCCUCUCCUCUCCUAUCUCUCAUCUCUCCCUCUCUUCUUCUCUCUCGGCUUUCUCCCUCUCUCCACUCCGUUUCCAGCCGUCUCUGUCGGCAUGCACCGCCGAUGUCGACCCCCUUCCAGAUCGGCUGCCGCCGCCAAUUUCAGACAUGUUGUAAAGAAUGAAAAUCAGUGACGGAUUUUGGAGCGUGGCUGUCACCGUCGGCGACGGAGUGCCGAGCUUACUGACGGAAACCUCACCGGCAGACUCCUAUGUCAUUUCAAGCUAAGUUCCUGUUAUCCUUUGAGAAAUAGCCAUUUUUAUGUUCGUGAGAUGCUAUAACAAUUAUGUUCUAGAGGUGCUAAAUUGCCUAUAUGCAAUAUGUUGUAAUAGGUGAAAAAAAAAUGAGGUGUUUGUGUGAUUAUGAAAAGGAAUUGCUGAAUUUGUCUCUUUUAUGAUACUAUGACAAAGGUCUUGGUGGAUUGCUUCCUCCUACUUCCGUUGGGAGAAUAUUGUGGGAGUUUUGUUUAUCUAAAGUAGGUGGAUGAAAAUGAUUGUAUAUUUAUAUACAUAUACACAAAAGAUGGCGGUGAAAGUGACGUGUAGCAAGUUACCUGACAUUCCUAUCUCAAAUUAUUCUCCUUUGUCAGAAGGGGAUAUGACUUUAUCUGUUUUAAUUAAACACAGUAUUUUAUUUUUUUAUUAAAUUAAUUAUUUAAGUAUUUGUUCACUUAUUCUUUUAAAUUGGUGUAGGAAAGAACCCGGUUCAAGCUCGUGGCUGCCCGCGCUGAAGUACCCGAUUUGCUUAAAACGUAGGAUGUAUUAAAUUUUGUUGGAUGUAUCGGAUAUUAAAAUUUUAAUUUUGGGAUCUCAUUUAUUUAUUUAUUUAUUUAAAUUUAUUA